CCUUGACCACGGUCUCUGUCUUCACAUGGAGUCCUCUCUUGCUUGAUGCUGGAAACCCACAACUCAACUCAAACAGAAUGAGAGACUGUUUAUCCUUGAGCUAAGCUCACAUGUCCAGACACUUGGAUCUGUUUUGAAGAUUGGAAAACCUUUGGGAUACGGUGUCUACAUAAGAAAACGGGUCUCUGAGAUGGACUACAUCCUCAAAGCGUGAAUCCAGACAAACCCUUCCUCCCUGGCCAAGCUUUUUCUCAGACGUUUGGUCACAGCAAAGAGAACAGCGGUUCAUACACUUCCCUUUCACCCUGCCCCUCCACCCACGCCACUGCAUGAGCAACCGAGUUUGAAUAAAGGACUCCAUUUGGGGAGACACUGGGCCCCCCUCCUGCCUUGACCUCUGACACUUCACCGUUCAGCAGGCACUGUGGUGAUAGCUAGCCUACCUCAGAGAGGGUGGCUGCAAAUUUCCAGUGGGAGUGCCAAGCACGCAGAAUACCCCACACGCUACAUAGCAACUGGCAGAGCUAAGUUUGUUUACCGUGACUAUUUUUACUUCUCAUGUCUGAAGCCCCCUAUCCAACACAAUGCCUCGCAUAAUGAAGGUAAGCAACAGAUGUUUGUUGAAUUCAGUUGGCUAAAGAUUGGGUUGAAUUAUAAAACCUAAGGGAAGACAAUGUAUCCUUUUCUUU